CCCCCAAAAAAAAAAAAAAAAAAAACUGCUGCAGAUUCACCUUCCUUGACAUGGUCAUGGGGAAGAUUAGCUAGAUUUGAACUCAUGUUAUCCAUAGACAGAAUAGCAGAUCGAAGUCCCUAAAUCACAGAUGGUCUCAUGUGGUUUCUUUCCAGGAGAUCAUAAAUCAGUUCACCACACAUGUAACGAGGUUUCUGUGAAAUCAUAGAGCCCAAUACUUACGGUAAAUUACAAGUGUACUGACAACAUGGAACUUCCAGCUACCGUGUUGGCCUUCCAUCUUGUUGAACGCCGUCUGAUGGGCAUUUCACAUGACCCGGCCUGGUCAUGCGAUUAAUGUCCUAAAGAGAAGCAGUACUUGUUGUUUCACAUUUUGAUAAGCCAGUUUUUUUUUUUUAAUCAUGCAAAGCAAGAAACCCUAAUUAGCAA